AACGCACCUUGCGCUCUCUGGUAUUCCGGAGAGCAUGUCUGUUUGAGUGUCAUGAACUCUUCAACCCACCGGUUCCUUGUUGGACCGAGUUGGUGUUUGGAUUUUGAGUGCUGCAGUCUCGCAAGAGACCUGCUCAUUCGUAAUACAUUAGCAUCUCAAUUUCGUAAUCGGAUUGACUCAGCGUAAUAGACUAUUCGCUGAGGACACCUCACGGUGGCCGAGAAUGAAGAGUUAGAAGCUUCAAACCCCUCUAGUCAACUUUAGAUUAGACCUCAAAUCAGGCAGGAUUACCCGCUGAACUUAA
rnacentral:misc_RNA from 1 species